CGGAAAUGGAGCUAGUGAAAAUGGAGCUAGUGAAAAUGGAGGUGGUGAAAAUGUAGAUGGUGAAAAUGGAGAUGGUCAGAAUGGACAUGUUCAAAAUGAAAAUGGUCAGAAUGGAGAUGUUCAAAAUGAACCAGCGCAAAAUGAUUUACCACCAUUACCAAUAAAUGGAAAUCAUGUUGAUAUGAAUGAUAAUAUAGACAUAAAUAUUGUAUCCGAACUCGAUUAUAAUAUUGGUGACAAUACAAAUGGUAAUAAUUCGUCAUUAGAUAUAAACGAUAGUAAUCAUCAACACUUGCCUAUACAAAAUGGAUAUCCUGAAUCAGUUGAUGCUUUUGUUGUGGAUGCAGGAGGAAGUGCUAAUAACGAAGGUGAACAGGCACAGGGUGCUAAUGUGGGUAAUCCUGGUUUUUUUAGCUUAAUGUAUUUAUCAAGUGGAACAUUAAACUCUUAUAAUCAUGCAGCUGGAACAUUGGGUACUAAUAAUAAUGCUCCUGAAACAGAUAGUUCUUCUAAUAAUGCAUCCGGAGAAAGUGCUAAUAUCGGUCAAGUUAGUUUUAUGUCUGGUAUGUAUAGUCUUCAAAAUUCAACGGGUACUUUAAUUUAUCCUGCUAACGCACAAGUAUACUGCACGAUGGUUGGAUAUUGGGUAAGUUACUAUAGUACUUAUGGAAUUAUACAAAGUGAUGCAGAAGUUUUACAACAUGCAAUAGGAGGUAUGGCAACUUAUCAGGAUGCAAUGAUUCAUAUGAUUAUGUUAACAACUGCACAUGGUAGUUUGGCGGAGUUUGAACAGGUACUGAAUAAUUUGCCUAAUUCACAGCAUAUACCACUAAGUGUAAGUAUGCCAUUAGGUCUUAAUAAUUUGUUGAAUGGUGCUGGAGCAGGAAUAGUAAACAGUUUUUGUGUUGGAUACUGGUCGUGUUAUUUUGCGUUCUAUGGACUUGCGUCAGCUGAAAGUGUAGGUUAUUCACAAGAAGCAAUGCAAUUUAUUUAUUGGGGGGCCAACAUAUUUAACUUCUAUUGGCAUCAAAAUGUUGCGACGGGUAUUUAUAACCCUGUACUAAACCCUAACGUUGCAAUUGAAACAGGAUUUCAAGUAUAUCUUAUUUUGAAUAAUUUAACCUAUACACUGCAUGUUAUGCCUCCCAGUACUGGCACAUCUGGUGUGAAUAGUGGUGAAAAUGCAACAGAAGACAUGGACCAUGACAAUAUGCAAACUUGAUUAAAUAAAAUUUAUUAUAGCAUGGAGGAUGAAAUGAUG
rnacentral:lncRNA from 1 species